rnacentral:rRNA from 1 species
UACGGAGGGGGGCUAGCGUUGUUCGGAAUUACUGGGCGUAAAGCGCACGUAGGCGGCUUUGUAAGUUAGAGGUGAAAGCCCGGGAGCUCAACUCCGGAAUUGCCUUUAAGACUGCAUCGCUCGAAUCAUGGAGAGGUGAGUGGAAUUCCGAGUGUAGAGGUGAAAUUCGUAGAUAUUCGGAAGAACACCAGUGGCGAAGGCGACUCACUGGACAUGUAUUGACGCUGAGGUGCGAAAGCGUGGGGAGCAAACAGG